rnacentral:rRNA from 1 species
UACGGAGGGUGCGAGCGUUAAUCGGAAUUACUGGGCGUAAAGCGCACGUAGGCGGUCAGGCAAGUCGGGUGUGAAAGCCCUGGGCUCAACCUGGGAAUUGCAUUCGAAACUAUCUGACUCGAGUAUGGGAGAGGGAAGCGGAAUUUCCGGUGUAGCGGUGAAAUGCGUAGAUAUCGGAAGGAACACCAGUGGCGAAGGCGGCUUCCUGGACUAAUACUGACGCUGAGGUGCGAAAGCGUGGGGAGCGAACUGG